UACGUAGGUGGCAAGCGUUAUCCGGAUUUACUGGGUGUAAAGGGCGUGUAGGCGGGAGUGCAAGUCAGAUGUGAAAACUAUGGGCUCAACCCAUAGCCUGCAUUUGAAACUGUACUUCUUGAGUGCUGGAGAGGCAAUCGGAAUUCCGUGUGUAGCGGUGAAAUGCAUAGAUAUCACGCAGAACUCCGAUUGCGAAGGCAGCAUACCGGCGCGCAACUGACGCUCAUGCACGAAAGCGUGGGUAUCGAACAGG
rnacentral:rRNA from 1 species